GGUCGAACGAACUCUGGUAUUGAUUGGUGCUUGCAUCAUGAUUUACAUUUGAGUGAGUGGCGAACUGGUGAGUAACACGUGGGAAACCUGCCCAGAAGCGGGGGAUAACACCUGGAAACAGAUGCUAAUACCGCAUAACAACUUGGACCGCAUGGUCCGAGUUUGAAAGAUGGCUUCGGCUAUCACUUUUGGAUGGUCCCGCGGCGUAUUAGCUAGAUGGUGGGGUAACGGCUCACCAUGGCAAUGAUACGUAGCCGACCUGAGAGGGUAAUCGGCCACAUUGGGACUGAGACACGGCCCAAACUCCUACGGGAGGCAGCAGUAGGGAAUCUUCCACAAUGGACGAAAGUCUGAUGGAGCAACGCCGCGUGAGUGAAGAAGGGUUUCGGCUCGUAAAACUCUGUUGUUAAAGAAGAACAUAUCUGAGAGUAACUGUUCAGGUAUUGACGGUAUUUAACCAGAAAGCCACGGCUAACUACGUGCCAGCAGCCGCGGUAAUACGUAGGUGGCAAGCGUUGUCCGGAUUUAUUGGGCGUAAAGCGAGCGCAGGCGGUUUUUUAAGUCUGAUGUGAAAGCCUUCGGCUCAACCGAAGAAGUGCAUCGGAAACUGGGAAACUUGAGUGCAGAAGAGGACAGUGGAACUCCAUGUGUAGCGGUGAAAUGCGUAGAUAUAUGGAAGAACACCAGUGGCGAAGGCGGCUGUCUGGUCUGUAACUGACGCUGAGGCUCGAAAGUAUGGGUAGCAAACAGGAUUAGAUACCCUGGUAGUCCAUACCGUAAACGAUGAAUGCUAAGUGUUGGAGGGUUUCCGCCCUUCAGUGCUGCAGCUAACGCAUUAAGCAUUCCGCCUGGGGAGUACGGCCGCAAGGCUGAAACUCAAAGGAAUUGACGGGGGCCCGCACAAGCGGUGGAGCAUGUGGUUUAAUUCGAAGCUACGCGAAGAACCUUACCAGGUCUUGACAUACUAUGCAAAUCUAAGAGAUUAGACGUUCCCUUCGGGGACAUGGAUACAGGUGGUGCAUGGUUGUCGUCAGCUCGUGUCGUGAGAUGUUGGGUUAAGUCCCGCAACGAGCGCAACCCUUAUUAUCAGUUGCCAGCAUUAAGUUGGGCACUCUGGUGAGACUGCCGGUGACAAACCGGAGGAAGGUGGGGAUGACGUCAAAUCAUCAUGCCCCUUAUGACCUGGGCUACACACGUGCUACAAUGGAUGGUACAACGAGUUGCGAACUCGCGAGAGUAAGCUAAUCUCUUAAAGCCAUUCUCAGUUCGGAUUGUAGGCUGCAACUCGCCUACAUGAAGUCGGAAUCGCUAGUAAUCGCGGAUCAGCAUGCCGCGGUGAAUACGUUCCCGGGCCUUGUACACACCGCCCGUCACACCAUGAGAGUUUGUAACACCCAAAGUCGGUGGGGUAACCUUUUAGGAACCAGCCGC
rnacentral:rRNA from 1 species